GGGCCCGUCGUUUAAUGGUAGGACACGACUCUUAUAAAGUCGGUGCGAUAGUUCGAUUCUAUCCGGGCCCA
rnacentral:tRNA from 1 species